AACGAACGCUGGCGGCAUGCCUAACACAUGCAAGUCGAACGAGACCUUCGGGUCUAGUGGCGCACGGGUGCGUAACGCGUGGGAACCUGCCCUUAGGUUCGGAAUAACUCCCCGAAAGGGGUGCUAAAACCGGUUAAUUUCUUGGGACCAAAGAUUUAUCGCCUUUGGAUGGGCCCGCGUUGGAUUAGCUAGUUGGUAGGGUAAAAGCCUACCAAGGCGACGAUCCAUAGCUGGUCUGAGAGGAUGAUCAGCCACACUGGGACUGAGACACGGCCCAGACUCCUACGGGAGGCAGCAGUGGGGAAUAUUGGACAAUGGGCGAAAGCCUGAUCCAGCAAUGCCGCGUGAGUGAUGAAGGCCUUAGGGUUGUAAAGCUCUUUUACCCGGGAUGAUAAUGACAGUACCGGGAGAAUAAGCUCCGGCUAACUCCGUG
rnacentral:rRNA from 1 species